rnacentral:rRNA from 1 species
GACGAACGCUGGCGGCGUGCUUAACACAUGCAAGUCGAACGGAAAGGCCCUGCUUUUGUGGGGUUCUCGGGUGGCGAACGGGUGAGUAACACGUGAGUAACCUGCCCUUGACUUUGGGAUAGCUUCAGGAAACUGGGGCUACUACCGUAUAGGAGCUCCUGCUGCGUGGUGAGGGGUGGAAAGUCUCGGCGGUUGGGGUUGGACGCGCGGCUUAUCGGCUUGUUGGUGGGGUAGUGGCUUGCCAAGGCUGUGGCGGGUCGCCGGCCUGUGAGGGUGACCGGCCACAAGGGGACUGCGAGACGGACCAGACUGCAACGGGAGGCAGCAGGCGGGAGUAUGACACAAUGGGCGCAAGUCUGAUGAAGAAACGCCGCGGGCGGGAUGACGGCUUUCGGGGUGUAAACCGCUUUCGCCUGUGACGAAGCGUGAGUGACGGUAAUGGGUAAAGAAGCACCGGCUAACUACGUG